CCCUAAGUAUAGUACAAACACUAUAUAAAUUUUAAAAUUUAAGUUUUAUUUAUUUAUUUUUAUAGUAUAUUAUAGGUAAAGAUUGAGAUUAAAAAUCAUAAAACACAUUAAAAAUAAAAAAAUAUCAAGUAAUUUCAAAAUACCAAACACAUUAAAAAAUUAUAAUAAUUAAUUUACAUGUGCGAAAAAUAUGAAAAAGUAUGCAAACACUCAUAGUCGCAUCCUCUACACUUUGAGGAUGGGUAUAUGAUCGUUUGCAUUUUUAAAACCACACAAACUCUCAUGAAUAGUAUUUUUAAAGGAGUUCAAAAUAAACAAAAUUCAUAAUCAUUAAUGUAUAAGUUUGAAAGAUGUGAAAGCAUAAUAAACGUUCAUAAUUGCAUUCUCAAUGCUUAGACGAUUGUUAAAUGGUAGUUUAGAUUUUUAAAACCCUCCAAAUCUCAUGAACAAUGUUUUUUAUUUGAAUGCAAAAUUAAUAAUAAUUAUUGUAGAAGUGUGAAAAAUGUAAUCAUUCAUAAUGAAAAGCUUUACAACUUUCAUGAAGGGAUCAACUCCGAAAUUUAGUAUAUAUAUACUAAUUUAGUAUUAUGUUUUCCAUUUUUUUGGGUCAAAUUAUGUUUUUCAUUUUCAUUUUUAUUGAUUUAAAAUAUAUUUUUCUUAAUGGGUAACGGGUCAGGUCAUAUUAGCUGAUAAUAUUAAUGGUUUGAUUUCGGGUCAUGUCAUAUUACCUGUUUACUUUAACGGAUAUUACACAACACGACCCAUUAAGCUAUCAGGUAUGAUAUCAAAACAACACGAAUACGAAAAACACAACACGAAUGUCAGGUCUAUUGAAAAGUUGAUUCAAGAUACCCUCAUCGGUUGGUAAUUGGCUAUAAUUUCCCACAUACCUUCAACUUGCAGCCAAAAGUAAUCAAUAAAAACAAGAAUAUAUAGUUAGAGAAUUGAGUCCGUUUGUCACGUGCUAUCGUUUCGUUGUUAUAUUUUUCUUCGCAACAAAAGUUGGUAUAGCCCACCCGCGUAAGACAUUACAGUUUUGAAUUAACAACCUUCCAAGAAACAACCACUCCACCGAUUCUCAUCUGCUUUUCUUCAUCUAUAAAUUGCAGAUUCAUAUAUGUUGGAUAUGACUUAAUUAAGAAAAUAAGCAGCUUAGCAGAAGCAAAACAAAUAAAAAACAGCAGAUAAAGGGAGAUGGUCUGGAAUCACUCCAGGGGCUUCGCACCCGAAACUGGCUUCCCACCAAAGAAUUCCUUUCACAGGAAUGUAAUACUCAACUCUUAUUCAUAAACUCAUAGUUCCCUAUGAAUUACAAUGGGAUAUUUAUAGGGAAUCAAUACAAAGACAAUCAGGAAAGAAUUCCCGAUUCAAAUAGUACAAGGAUUCCCAGCUCAACUAAUGAUUGGAAAAGACAGCCUAUUCCUAAUGGGUUUCGGAAGACAUUCCUAAAUCAACUAAAACAAAAAAAUAGACUUAAUCCUACUUGAAAAAAGAAAAUAAUAUAACUUAAAUCCAAAGCCAAAUGGGAAACAAAAAUCUGUCCUAAAGCACUCAAUCUUGUUGGAGAAUGUCCCACAUUGAUAGGAGGAAGACUUUGCAUGAGCUUAUAAGUUAAGCUGCUCUCCACAUUGCCAAUUGAUUUUAUGGUGGAACUUCAAUUUUCUUCAUGGUAUCAGAGUAGGUUGUCACACAUGUGAAGUUCAAUGGCCACAUGCGUUCCACGUCACCCAGUUUGUGUUGUCCACAUGUUUGGCUUGAAAUUUCGUCACACGUGAAGGAGGUGUGUUGACAAUGUCCCCCAAUGAUAGAACAAGGCACCUAAUUUGCCACACGUGAAAGGGGUGUGUUGACAAUUAGGUCUGGCAAAUAGGUUGUGUAUGUCGUGUCCGUGUCAUUUUUGUGUAACACCUGUUAUCUUAACGGGUUAUGUCGUGUCACACCCGUUAUCUUAAUGGGUCAUUCACAGGUUGGGUCACUUUACUUAACAGGUAAAGUGACCCGACCCAUUAUGACCCAUUAAGAAAAAUAUAUUUAUUUUCUUAAAUUUGCACAUACCACACAUUACCACAUAAAGAUUACUUCAAACCAUUAAAACACAUUUGUCGUUUAAGUACUACAUCUACACUCGAAAAUAAGAGUCUAAUAAACAAACAUCCAUACACUACUAGUCUAUUACAAAAUAUUAAAUGUGCAAGGAUAUGCAAAAUGAGAGAGUUUUUGUUUUCAAGGUUGUGAAGCCUUUCUCAAAAGUUUAAACCUUGCCAAUGGAACUCAAAGCUUGCAUGUUAUUCCUUUUACAAAAUCCUCAAUUUUCAUUGAUCAUAUCUAGUAGUGUAAAUAUUUUAAAUUGAAGAUCAAGUUUAUGCAUUGUAUUCAUAUAGGGUCAUGGAGUGUAGCUGUCAAAAAUCAUCAAAAUCGAAGUUAAAAUAACCGUUAAAUUGUGAUUUUUCAUUGAUAACUGUCGAAAAGUUUUGUCCCGUUACUUAAUCUCUGAAUGUUUAUUUUUUUCAAUUUUUGGCACAUGCGAUCUUGAAGCAUAUACAAACAAGUUUGGUGGUUGGUUUGUUGAAAUUAGUUUCAUAGAAUGCGUAUACCAUCAAAACGAUAGAUUCACUAAUACAAUAGUUUAUUUAUACUUUCAUUAAGUACCACUAGUGUAAAUAUUUUAAAUUGCAGAUCGAAUUUAUUUAUUAUAUUCAUAUAGGGUCAAGGAGUGUAGCUGUCAAAAGUCAUCAAAAUCGGAGUUAAAAUAACCAUUAAAUCGUGAUUUUUCGUUGAUAACCAUUGAAAAGUUUUGUCCCGUUACAUGAUCUCUCAGUGUUUGUUUUUUUCAAUUUUUGGUGUAUGCGAUCUCGAAGUAUAUACAAACAUGUUUGACGGUUGGAUCGUUGAAACUAGUUUCAUAAAAUGCGUAUCCCAUCAAAACAAUAGAUUCAUUAACACUUAAGAGUUUAUUCAUACUUUCAUUAAGUAAGAUUUUAUGGUAUCCACUAGUGUAAAUAUUUUAAAUUGAAGAUCGAGUUUAUGCAUUGUAUUCAUAUAGGGUCAAUGAGUGUAGUUGUAAAAAAAUCAUCAAAAUCGGAGUUAAAAUAACCAUUAAAUCAUGAUUUUUCAUUGAUAAUCAUCAAAAAGUUUUGUCCCGUUACUUGAUCUCUGAAUGUUUGUCCUUCGCGAUUUUUAGCGUAUGCGAUCUCUAAGCAUAUACAAACAAGUUUGAUGGUUGGAUCAUUGAAAUUAAUUUCGUAGAAUGUGUAUCCCAUCAAAACGAUAGAUUCGCUAACACUUAAGAGUUUAUUCAUACUUUCAUUAAGUAUAACAUAAGAUUUUGUGGUAUCCACUAGUGUAAAUAUUUUAAAUUGAAGAUUGAGUUCAUUCAUUUUAUUCAUAUAGGGUCAAGGAAUGUAGCUGUAAAAAAUCAUCAAAAUCAAAUUUAAAAUAAUCGUUAAAUCGUGAUUUUUCAUUGAUAAUCGUCGAAAAGUUUUGUCUUUUUAUUUGAUCUCUGAAUGUUUUUUUUUUUUUUUUGCAAUUUUUAGCGUAUGCAAUCUCAAAGUAUAUACAAAAUGUUUGAUGGUUGGAUCGUUGAAACUAGUUUCGUAGAAUACGUAUCCCAUCAAAACAAUAGAUUCACUAACACUUAAACGUUUAUUCAUACUUCCAUUAAGUAUAACAUACUAGUGUAAAUAUUUUAAAUUGAAGAUCGAGUUCAUUCAUUAUAUUUUUAUAGGGUCAAGGAGUGUAGCUGUAAAAAAAUCAUCAAAAUCGGAGUCAAAAUAACCGUUAAAUCGUGAUUUUUUGUUGAUAACUGUCAAAAAGUUUUAUUUUGUUAUUUGAUCAAUGAAUGUUUGUUUUUUGUGAUUUUUGGCGUAUGCGAUCUUGAAGCAUAUACAAACAAGUUUGAUGAUUGGAUCGUUGAAAUUAGUUUCGUAGAAUGCGUAUCCCAUCAAAACGAUAGAUUCACUAACACUUAAGAGUUUAUUCGUACUUUCAUUAAGUAUAACAUAAGAUUUUGUAGCAUACAUUAGUGUAAAUAUUUUAAAUUGAAGAUUGAAUUCAUUAAUUGUCUUCAUAUAUGGUCAAGGAGUGUGCUUGUAAAAAAUCAUCAAAAUCAGAGUUAAAAUAACCGUUAAAUCGUGAUUUUUCGUUGAUAACCGUCGAAACGUUUUGUCUCGUUACUUGAUCUCUAAAUGAUUAUAUUUUUUGCAAUUUUUGAAGUAUGCGAUCUCGAAGUAUAUACAAACAUGUUUGACGGUUGGAUCGUUGAAACUAGUUUCGUAGAAUGUGUAUCCCAUCAAAACAAUAGAUUCACAAACACUUAAGAGUUUAUUCAUAGUUUCAUUAAGUAUAACAUAAGAUUUUGUGGUAUCCACUAGUGUAAAUAUUUUAAAUUGAAGAUCAAGUUUAUUCAUUGUAUUCGUAUAUGGUCAAGGAGUGUAGCCAUAAAAAAUCAUCAAAGUCGGAGUUAAUAUAACCGUUAAAUCGUAAUUUUUCAUUGGUAACCGUCGAAAAGUUUUAUUCCGUUACUUGAUAUCUGAAGGUUUGUUUUUUACCAUUUUUGGCAUAUGCGAUCUUGAAACAUAUACAAACAAGUUUGACGGUUGGAUCGUUGAAAUUAGUUUCGUAGAAUGUGUAUCCCAUCAAAACGAUAGAUUCACUAACACUUAAGAGUUUAUUCAUACUUUACUUAAGUAUAACAUAAGAUUUUGUGGCAUACACUAGUGUAAAUAUUUUAAAUUGAAGACCGAAUUCCUUCAUUGUAUUCAUAUAGAGUCAAGGAGUGUAGCUGUAAAAGAUCAUCAAAAUUGGAGUUAAAAUAACCGUUAAAUCGUGAUUUUUUGUUCAUAACCAAUAUUUUAAAUUGAAGAUCGAAUUCAUUCAUUGUAUUCAUAUAGGGUCAAGGAGUGUAGCUGUAAAAAACCAUCACAAUCGGAGUUAAAAUAACCGUUAAAUCGUGAUUUUUCGUUAUAACUGUCGAAAAGUUUUGUCUCAUUACUUGAUCUCUCAAUGUUUAUUUUUUGCAAUUUUUGGCGUAUGCAAUCUUGAAGUAUUUACAAAACAUGUUUGACGGUUGGAUCGUUGAAACUAGUUUCGUAGAAUGUAUAUCCCAUCAAAACAAUAGAUUCAUUAACACUUAAGAGUUUAUUCACUUUCAUUAAGUAUCCACUUGUGUAAAUAUUUUAAAUUGAAGACCGAGGUCAUUCAUUGUAUUCAUAUAGGGUCAAGGAGUGUAGCUGUAGAAAAUUAUCAAAAUUGGAGAUAAAAUAACUGUUAAAUCGUGAUUUUUCGUUGAUAACCGUCCAAAAGUUUUGUCUCGUUACUUGAUCUCUGAAUGUUUGUUUUUUGUGAUUUUUUUGCUGAUGCAAUCUCGAAGCAUAUACAAACAAAUUUGACGGUUAGAUCGUUGAAAUUAGUUUCGUAGAAUUCGUAUCCCACCAAGUUCAAUGGUGUGUGUAUAUAUAUUUAUUAAGUAGAUUUAAAUUUAUUUAUUUUGUACGUAUAACACUUAAGAAAUUGAAUGAUAUAUAUAUAUUUAAGCCGAUCCAAUGGUCACCAAUUUUUAAUAUUUA
rnacentral:lncRNA from 1 species